rnacentral:rRNA from 1 species
UACGGGGGGGAGCAAGCGUUGUUCGGAUUUACUGGGCGUAAAGGGCGCGUAGGCGGCGUGACAAGUCACUUGUGAAAUCUCCGGGCUUAACUCGGAACGGUCAAGUGAUACUGUCGUGCUAGAGUACAGAAGGGGCAACUGGAAUUCUCGGUGUAGCGGUGAAAUGCGUAGAUAUCGAGAGGAACACCUGCGGCGAAGGCAGGUUGCUGGGCUGAUACUGACGCUGAGGCACGAAAGCGUGGGGAGCAAACAGG